rnacentral:rRNA from 1 species
UGAUCAGCGGCGGACGGGUGAGUAAUGCCUAGGAAUCUGCCUGGUAGUGGGGGACAACGUUUCGAAAGGAACGCUAAUACCGCAUACGUCCUACGGGAGAAAGCAGGGGACCUUCGGGCCUUGCGCUAUCAGAUGAGCCUAGGUCGGAUUAGCUAGUUGGUGAGGUAAUGGCUCACCAAGGCGACGAUCCGUAACUGGUCUGAGAGGAUGAUCAGUCACACUGGAACUGAGACACGGUCCAGACUCCUACGGGAGGCAGCAGUGGGGAAUAUUGGACAAUGGGCGAAAGCCUGAUCCAGCCAUGCCGCGUGUGUGAAGAAGGUCUUCGGAUUGUAAAGCACUUUAAGUUGGGAGGAAGGGCAUUAACCUAAUACGUUGGUGUCUUGACGUUACCGACAGAAUAAGCACCGGCUAACUCUGUGCCAGCAGCCGCGGUAAUACAGAGGGUGCAAGCGUUAAUCGGAAUUACUGGGCGUAAAGCGCGCGUAGGUGGUUCGUUAAGUUGAAUGUGAAAUCCCCGGGCUCAACCUGGGAACUGCAUCCAAAACUGGCGAG